AGCAGCCGCGGUAAUUCCAGCUCCAAUAGCGUAUAUUAAAGUUGUUGCAGUUAAAAAGCUCGUAGUUGAACUUCGGGGUUUACCCAUUGGUCAGGCUUAAUUGUCUGUACUGGUGAGAUAAAUCUCUACCUUCUAAGGAACUUUCAUGUCAUUAAUUUGGUGUGAUUGGAAAUCAGGACUGUUACUUUGAAAAAAUUAGAGUGUUUAAAGCAGGCUAACGUCUGAAUACAUUAGCAUGGAAUAAUGAAAUAGGACGGACUGAUUCUAUUUCGUUGGUUUCUAGGAUCACCGUAAUAAUUAAUAGGGAUAGUUGGGGGCAUUAGUAUUCAAUUGUCAGAGGUGAAAUUCUUGGAUUUAUUGAAGACUAACUACUGCGAAAGCAUUUGCCAAGGAUGUUUUCAUUAAUCAAGAACGAAAGUUAGGGGAUCGAAGACGAUCAGAUACCGUCGUAGUCUUAACCAUAAACUAUGCCGACUAGGGAUCGGACGAAGUUAAUUUUAUAAUGACGCGUUCGGCACCUUACGG
rnacentral:rRNA from 1 species